UAUAUAUAUAUAUAUAUAUACUUGAGCUCCUAUACUUUUGAAAGUAACAAGACAUUGGUGUUUGUAAGUUUUUAGCCUUUAGAUUAAAAAAUAUGUGGUUAGGAUGAUGUGGGCCCCCUAGGGUUGAGUGGGUGGUUGGUUGAAUAGUAUAAUCUAACGGGUGUAAUGAUCAACAGUGCUGAUCUAACGAUUAAAAACCUACAAGCACAAAGUGAUUGGUACUUUUACAAGCACCACAGCCGGACUCUAUAUAUAUAUAUAUAUAGAAUUAGGCUGGAAUACUAUUAAUAGUAAAACGCUUUUUUCACUAUCAAGUUUUUAACCCUUUGAUGAAAAAUUGUAGGAUCAGGAUGAUAUUAGUCGGUUAGAGUUGAGUUGUCCCCCUAGGGUUGAGUGGUCUCCACUGGGUUAUAGUAUUUAAUCCAAUGGUUGAAAUAAUGAAAAGAGUUGAUCCAAAGGCUAAAAAACUGGUAGCAACAAUGAGAUUUUGCUACUAAUAGUAGCCCAGUCCAGCUCUCUCUCUCUCUCUCUCUCUCUCUCUCUCUCUCUCUCUCUCUCUCUCUCUCUCUCUAUAUAUAUAUAUAUAUAUAUAUAUAUAUA
rnacentral:lncRNA from 1 species